CUCACUGUAUUGAAUGCCCACUCGACUUACAGCGUGUUCGGUUCACGGAACUGGAAGUCCACUAAUCCGAUUACAGGGGAAUCGUAUCAAUUAUCUGAACCGAACACGAUGAAUUCUCGAGCGGAAUCCGAUUACCUCAAAUUUGUUGUUUUCGAUUGCAGUGGUCAAGGUGUGGAAUGGGAACCGAUUCCCGGGAAUUGAGGUGUAAAACCCAUGAAUUAACAGAUUUGCCCUGCCAUAUAUACAUUUAUCGAUUAGAAGAAAUAUGUUCUCAACUCUCGCUCUCGUGAUCGCUUCCUCUUCUGUAAAUAUAUAUAGAUAUAUAUAUCUCGAUUAGUCUCCCUGUUAUCGAAUUCUCUUUCUAUCUAUCGAUCUUGAUUCUCUAUUGUUCAAAAAAAAUAAUUGAAGUUCAUCACGCUACGGGUUAUCUGUGUUACUGUGGAAGUCCUUAAAGGCCAUUUUACACGAUAUAUUCUCCAGCUGUGAUUUCUUUCCUAAAAAACUUGAACCGAACAGAAAAUUUUGCUGAAGGAAUUGAUUUCCUUGUAAUCCAAUUAAUUUUUCUGGAUUCCACUGUAAUCGGAUUAAUGGACUUCUGAUUCGGUGAACCGAACAGGCUGUUAGUGUUUUUACUUCCCAUCAAUCCGAGAAACCGCUUCCAUUCCCACUCCAUGCAGAUCAAUCGAAUGCCGCAACAAAUAAUUUGUUUCUUCUUCGACAGAGAAAAAAACAAGAAAAUUUGUAUAAAAUCAUUCUCAUGAUAUAUAUACGGCUUGAAAUCGACUUAUAAAUUGUCUGAAGGAGGAAUUGAUCCUGUCAAAUCCAACGGCUAGAUCUAGAAGAUUGUUCAGCUUAUCUAAGAGAUUUUUUUCCGUUCUAAUGAUAGAUAGAUAGAUUUUUUUCCGUUCUAAUGAUGCAUCCUUUCUAAUUGAUAGAUUUUGGAGUGAUAAGCAUCAACAAGGAAAUUCAAUACGGCUUCAGAAAAAAGAAGGAAACCCAGGUUGAGUUCUUAUGCCGCAAUCUUUACUUCUCCGAGAUAGCCUAAGGUAAAAGUGUUUGUUGAAUUGUCUGAUUGAGAAUUAUGGAUAUUCGUUUUUGUGAAUGGGUUUGCAUGAAUGAAAAAUUUGAGAUGAUAGUCCUGUUCAGCUGCAAAGAUGACCAGAAACAAAUAGUGGUGGAUUCUUUGAAACAUAGUGCAGGUAGACCUGUAGUAAAUAUGGUGGAUCCUUUGGGUUAUGGAUAUGAUGGAUAAAACGGUAAAUGUGCCUCAGGAGCAGAACCAUGGGUGCCUUGCAUCAACCAGCUUUGGAUGGCAGUGGCCCCUUCAGUAAAACAAUCCGUAGAAGUCCUAGGCUAAUUGUGCAAGCUCGAGUUCAAGAAACAAUACAUAUGCAGAUUUGAAUUGUUAACAGGUUUUGGAAGAUAAGCUUGAUUUAUCAAGGUGGUAAUUGAAGUAUAGGGCUUUUGGUCAAGAUGUAGAGUUUUCUUGGCUUGCUCGCAAUAUGCAGGCUAUACCCAACCAAAGAGGCCAAUGAUGAUGUUUAGAAGGUCUGCCUAACAGGAAUAUUGAUAACUAAUAUUAGUAAGAAUCAUGGAAAGACCAAUCGAAAAUGAGAAUCUUAACACUUUGAAUAAUCUUAACACCAUAAUCCUUGGGCUAAAAGUUCUGAAACUCUCUUGAAUGUGGAAGAUCGUUCGAAUGGGUUGUUAAUCGAUUCAAUUUUCCCCAAUUAAUGUUACAUAAUGUUACAUAGAAGCCUUUUUUCUCUAAUUGUGUAUAUGAUUUAUUCUCCCGCUACACUUUUCUUAAUGGGGAACCAGUGUUCUGAAAGCGUUACCUCUAACUUGCAUUAUCAUUUUUAGAUAAUCAAAUCUUUUUAUAUGUAGCCCAUUAUUACCAUGAAAUAAAAUUUUGGAUCGAUUUGUCCGAAGAGUUGGACAAGGUUUUUGUGAAUGUAAUUUCUCGAUUAAGUCUUUUAGGAAGGAUAUCAAGGUGGGAAAUCAUCACGGCACGCAGUAAUAUCAGUCAUAUACUUGAGAAGUUGGGAUGAGGGCUUUGUGUCAUAGUAAUUAACCUUUGGUAAUGCGAAUGCCUCUUUUAUCAAUCCUGGAUUUCCUAAUUAUAUGCAAGAGGAUGUAAGUUCUUUAUUAUUUAUUUUCCUUCAUUUACUAGGUUAUCACUAAUUUAGGUGAAAGAAACACUUUGCUGACAGUUUCCACUUGCAGGAUUGGGUGAAAGUAGUGGAUUGUUGUUUUUCGUUGAUGUAUAUGACUGAUGUUACUGCAUAUGCAUUGAAAUUCUUUUUGGCUUUGAAAAGAAUGUAACUGUUUUAGAAUUGGGCGAUUGAAAGGCCGGAAACAUAUAAGGAAUCACCAGAUAAUGUUCGAGUCAUAUGACAGGAAGAGGCUCUUGCACCUUUUUCAUGUUAUAUCAAACCUAAUCUCUGUGAUAUUGUUCACAAAUGGUGCACUUUUAACAACCUGAAGGCUGAUGUGGAGUGGAUAAGUUUUGCACCUGACUUCCUGAGAAAACAGGAAGCACGCAGUUGAGGAUGCAUUACUAACUAUCUCCGGAGUCGAAAUUGGUUACCAGCUUCAAUGUAAAUAUACAGCGUAGCAAGGAUGGCGAUGUCAAGAAUUUACGAACAUUAAACCCAUACGUUAUUAGGUGAGCACAAAUGAAGCUCUGCAUUGGAUAAAACCUAAAUUUAAGACAUUGUCAUUGUUUGAAGUUUUCGUGUUUUGUUGAGAAUUGUUGGGUUCUUAGCUUCCUUAUUAACCCGUUGGAUCAAUGGGAGUCUCUUAGAGAGUUUUAACUUUUUGUUGAGAAUUGUUGGGUUCUUAGCUUCCUUAUUAACCCGUUGGAUCAAUGGGAGUCUCUUAGAGAGUUUUAACUUUUUGGGGUAUCAUUUAGGUUGGAAUUUGAUUUUCUCUGAAUCGUUGGACCUUAAAGCUGAUGAAAUUCCUAUCAAAUUAGUACAUGCCAUA